rnacentral:misc_RNA from 1 species
UGUGGGAGCGAGCCUGUUCGCGAUGGCGGUGUGUCAGUCAAUGGAAGGUUGAUUGAUCUACCAUCGCGAGCAGACUCGCUCCCACA